AUGAACGCUGGCGGCGUGCCUAAUACAUGCAAGUCGAGCGAACGGACGAGAAGCUUGCUUCUCUGAUGUUAGCGGCGGACGGGUGAGUAACACGUGGAUAACCUACCUAUAAGACUGGGAUAACUUCGGGAAACCGGAGCUAAUACCGGAUAAUAUUUUGAACCGCAUGGUUCAAAAGUGAAAGACGGUCUUGCUGUCACUUAUAGAUGGAUCCGCGCUGCAUUAGCUAGUUGGUAAGGUAACGGCUUACCAAGGCAACGAUGCAUAGCCGACCUGAGAGGGUGAACGGCCACACUGGAACUGAGACACGGUCCAGACUCCUACGGGAGGCAGCAGUAGGGAAUCUUCCGCAAUGGGCGAAAGCCUGACGGAGCAACGCCGCGUGAGUGAUGAAGGUCUUCGGAUCGUAAAACUCUGUUAUUAGGGAAGAACAUAUGUGUAAGUAACUGUGCACAUCUUGACGGUACCUAAUCAGAAAGCCACGGCUAACUACGUG
rnacentral:rRNA from 1 species